AUUGAACGCUGGCGGCAGGCCUAACACAUGCAAGUCGAGCGGAUGAAGGGAGCUUGCUCCUGGAUUCCGCGGCGGACGGGUGAGUAAUGCCUAGGAAUCUGCCUGGUAGUGGGGGAUAACGUCCGGAAACGGGCGCUAAUACCGCAUACGUCCUGAGGGAGAAAGUGGGGGAUCUUGGGACCUCACGCUAUCGGAUGAGCCUAGGUCGGAUUAGCUAGUUGGUGGGGUAAAGGCCUACCCAGGCGACGAUCCCUAACUGGGCUGAGAGGGUGAACAGUCACAAUUGAACUGAGAGACGGUCCAGACUCCUAAGGGAGGCAGCAGGGGGGAAUAAUGGACAAGGGGGGGAAGCCGGAUUCAGCCCUGCCGCGGGUGGGAAGAAGGCCUUCGGGUUGUAAAAGACUUUUAGGGUGGAGGAAGGGGGAGAAGGUAAAAACCUUGCUUUUUGACGGUACCCAAAGAAGAAGCAACGGCUAACUUCGUG
rnacentral:rRNA from 1 species